rnacentral:rRNA from 1 species
UAGGGAAUCUUCGGCAAUGGGGGGAACCCUGACCGAGCAACGCCGCGUGAGUGAAGAAGGUUUUCGGAUCGUAAAGCUCUGUUGUUAAGGAAGAACGAGUGUGAGAAUGGAAAGUUCAUACUGUGACGGUACUUAACCAGAAAGGGACGGCUAACUACGUGCCAGCAGCCGCGGUAAUACGUAGGUGGCAAGCGUUGUCCGGAUUUAUUGGGCGUAAAGCGAGCGCAGGCGGUCAAUUAAGUCUGAUGUGAAAGCCCCCGGCUCAACCGGGGAGGGUCAUUUGAAACUGGUUGACUUGAGUGCAGAAGAGGAGAGUGGAAUUCCAUGUGUAGCGGUGAAAUGCGUAGAUAUAUGGAGGAACACCGGUGGCGAAGGCGACUCUCUGGUCUGUAACUGACGCUGAAGCUCGAAAGCGUGGGUAGCAAACAGG